CACCUUUCAACCCUUACCAAUCCUAAUUCCUCCCCAAAUUCCCAAUCCUAUUUCCUCCCCAAACAUCGCAACUCCGCAUCUCUCUCUCUCCGCGUCCCUACCGCCGCCGCUCGUCGAAAACCACGCCUUGGACGAAUCGUCUCUCUUCGCCUCCCGACCUGCAUCGUGUAUCCCCUCGUCGAGUUCGCCCGCCACCUCCGCCCUAGGGAUUUAGGUAGAUCGUGCCGGGUCGGUGGGAAUUCGCCAACGACUGCUUCGAACGAGGCAAAAGAUCGCCCCUCCGCGCAUCGUCCUCUCCUACGAGCUCGGCUCGGCACUUCCGUUUUCAAAAUGUCUGGUGAUGAGAAGGAGGUAGAAGGGAGUUCUUCUCGUGGAACCGACUGGGAAGUAGUGUCUCUCACAGCAUCUACCUAUGCAGCUGCUCCAGGUCCAAAAGAUCUUGACACAGGAGAUGAGAAAAAAGAGAAGGAUGUUAGCAAAAGCGAGCGAGGAUCUUCUAGUGAUUUGUUCAUGUCUGAACACUUUGUAUUCCCCCCCAGCGAACAUGAGAAUUUACCUAUAGUACCUGACUAUAGUGAAAUACAUAGUGAAAGUGAAGGGAGACAAGUAGCUGGUGAUGUGGCUACAGUUCAUGAAACCGAGUUCUUUGAUGAAGGAAAAGGUCUUCCUGAGGGGGAAGAGCUGAAUUUGGUUGGUGAAGAGGAAUUUACUUUAGCGAACGAUGAUAGUGAUGAGUUUGAUGAACCAUCACAGCAAGGAGAAUCACCUACAAAGCAUGCUAAGAAGGAUGAAGAUGAUAAAUAUUGUGGGUCCGGUCUUCCUUGUGAAUCGUGGUUGAAGAGGCAUGCGACAUGCUUAUAUCGCCACGCAAAGGAGACAACCACAUUGUGGUCUGUUGUGGUGGCUGCAGCCCUGGUGGGUCUCGUGAUUUUAGGGCAGAAGUGGCAUCGCGAGAAACUGCAGCUUCAUCAGCUCAAGUGGCGGUUCAACGUCAAGAAGUGAGAGGAUGGGCAUGUGCAAACUUAUGUGGAAAAAUCAGAUUAGAAGAAAAAGAGGAUGGCAGUGUGCUCGAACAAAUAGCCUGUUUAAAGACAUUUGUUAUGUGGCCGCCAUCACAGCGCACUUACCUUUGGCGAUGGAGCCUCUCUGAGCGUUCAAUUUAAUGAUGAUGAUGAUGAUGAUGAUGAUGAUGACGAUAAAAUCUAUAUUUUGGACUGAGACAGGAUUUAAUAAGGAAGGAUUGGAUGUAAUUUAUGAUAAACGCCUUUUUCUUAUUGAGGAGACACUCGCGUUAUUCCGUUUCUGAGCUUUUCUUGCCCCACAUGGUUUUGUCACCCAAAAGUUUGAGAUUUCCUUAUGUCUUAUGCAAAGUAAGUCCUUAGUGUUAUUAAGGUUAUCUUUUGUUAUUUUUCUUUUCUCUCUCUCUCUAUAUAUACUUAUAUUUGUUAAGGCCUAGUUUCUGAAUGAUUUAUCCACCUUGAUUUCUAGAUGGCUCUAAA